GCGGCCCGGACCAGCUGCGGCUCGGGGCCGUGCGGUCGUCGUGUUAUUAUUGUUAUCUUUUUAGCCAUGCGUGUGCACUGUGCGCGCAUAUCGGCCGCUCAGCAGCUCUUCCGACGGCCGUCAGGUGAUUCCAACGUUUUCACCGUUCGCGAGUCGCGACUCGCGAUGUUAUUCUUGUUCAGACGGUUCGGUCGGCUCGAUUACAGUCGAAAGGCCGACUGAUCGCGCGCCUCCUACGCUCGGUCGGUGUUUUUAAUUUUUUUUUCUUUCAUGCUUUAGACAACGUUUUCAUGAAAUAUAAUGUUCCGACGAUGCGACCGUGAACGUUUACUCGAGUUCUGAUGUGUUUCGAACAGCAUUGGUACUUUUGGUAGAUGAGAGGGUUUCGAUGCUUUUAACAUUUAGCGAUUUAUGAGAUGAACUACUCGGGGUGACUAGGAACGCUUAUUUAAAAUCUUUAGAGGGUGCAUAGAUCUAUCAAGCAGGCGUGUAUCGAAAAUUUACUGAGAGGGUUCAGAAAUUGUGUACCAAGCAAAUAUGUUUAAGUGAUACAAUAUUUGAUACAAAUAAUAUUCAGAUGGGAAUAACAAAUUGUAGAGACCACCCUUCAGUGAAGAUUUUCGUCAAGAGAUUAAAUAUUAAACUUAAAAAUUAAAUAUUUUUAAAAGUUUCAGCUUCACCAGUUUUUACUUCUUGAGACUUGAAUAAUCUUGAGCUAAAAUUACGGAUUCACAUAAUAUACCUAUAUGUUUACUUUAAUGUACAAUAUUGAAAUUGUUCAAGACCUUGACCCAUUCGCUCUUUUCCUCAGUAGUAUGAUACAUUCAUUGGCCUAAAAAGGAGUUCAUUGAUAUGAAUAAAAUUGAAAGGAUUAAUUACGGUGAUUCAAUUGGUUGUGCCUCAGUGUCCAAUAUAUGAUAUAUGGAGCCAUGGAUUCAAAUUCUAUAAUUUGCAUUGUUUUUUACUUAGUUCUCCAUGCAUUGUCUUUAAUCAUUCCUUUUUUCUGAAUGCUCUGAAAAGGACUAACAUAUCAUGUCAAAUGGCAAUGGAGAUGAGGUUUUAUGAUGAGAUUUAGAUUUUUCAACUUUUCAACAAAUGAAAUUUUCAUUGUUGUUCCUGAAAAUAUUUGAUAUUUAUAAUCACAUGCAGUCCAUUCAAGAUGAAAAAUGUCAGAUAGUUGUUCACAUGUAUUGCAAUUGCAAUAUAAAUGAAAGAAUAUUUGAACAGAAUUAAAAAAUAUUCAAGGUUUACUCCAACAAUAAGUUCAACAGUUAUUAAAACAGUAUAUGAUGAGAUGUUUUAGAAUUUAUUGAUAAAUUUCAUAUUUGUCUAGAGACAUAGUUCAUAUUAUUCUAAUUUAAAUAGUUUUGAUUAUGAUCAUGGAUGAAACUAGAAAUUUUCAUUAGAUCAGGUCAUAAUACAGUAAAAGCUGCUUAAUAGGAAUACUUUUGUAUCAAAGUGGGAUGUAAAAAUGGACUGACUGUUUAUGGGUUUUAUAUUUUAAACUUUAUUCAUAUGUACUUACAUAUUAUGAA